rnacentral:lncRNA from 1 species
UUACUCCUUAAGAGGUACAUAAAAGAUUUCUGCAUCAACUAUAUUACUUUUGAUGUUUGAGUUGUAACGAUAUUGCAGCUAAUUUGCAUAUUAUGAUAUAGGUCAUACUUUUCGUAUUAUUCAUAGCUGAAUUAUAAUUAUAAAUAUUUUAAAUAGAUUAUUUGUCAUAAUUUUGUGAUUUUAAUGUAAUUUUUAUAAUUAUUUUUAUUUUAUACUAUCUUAAAAUUCUUGAAAUUAGUAAAAUUUAAAGAUCCAUGGGACUUACGCCCCACGUCUCAGGGCUUACACCUCGCCUCACGCUCCCGCCUUUUAAAACAUUGGUAAUUAGCAGCUUUCUAGUCGCCACUACCCCCAAAACAAAACAGGUUUUCCUAUUUGAAGUGCAUAACUAAUUCAACUACGAAAGCCCCUCAGCCAUAAUCAACAUGACAAUUAAGCUCUGAAAAGUUUAAGUUUAAUUAGUUGAGUUUCUUUUUCUUUUUCUGAUAUUGGAAAAAUCGCCUCCGGACCAACUUUGAGACCUCGGCAUCACUUUGUGAGGUAUCCUGUAACUCCGGGGGAUUAUGGGCCCGCCCCUCUACCCUCUUCCCAACUCAAAAUACUCUAGUUUCUUAUGGUUACAGAUUGCAGUAUCCCCUUAUGUUCUUUAGUAAAGGUAGAUUUUGCACUUUCCUAGAUGCACAGAUACUUUCUUACAUCAACUUCUAAAGCCAACAAUUAACCCUGUUAAUCAAUAAUGAUAAAAGCAUGGUAACAACAUUUCUUUUUGGGAAAAGGUCCAGAUUUGCCCCUCUACUAUUGUAUAUUGUUUACAUGUGUCCCCCGUUAUACUUUUCGUCCAUUUCCGCCCCUGCCGUUAACAAACUUUUCAGAUUUGCCCCUAACCCUAAUAGCCCUACACUGUAGCAGCUGACCCCUUAAAUUUUUUCUCAUGUCAGCUACCAAGUCAGAUGACACUAUGUCAUUCACCACAUUAUGAGUCAAGAUAUGGGGCCAUUCACCAAUCCCUAAUUUUAAUACCUGAUUCCCAUUUAAAAUCCACUAUUUUCCAAUCUAUACCCACCUAGUCCCCUCCAAAUCUGUUCAUUUUCCAUUUUUACUUCUAUUUUUAUUUCAUUUUCUUCCUCUUUUUCUUUACAUCUCUUUCUUCCUCAUCAAAACACCACGUCAUCUCCUUCACACCAUUUUCACCAGAACAAGAAAAUUAAACAAACAAUCUAAGCCAAAAUGAAAUAACAUGAUAGUAAAUUGAAUUUUUAAAUUUUGAAUUAAAUUCAUGUGUUCGUUGCUGGGUCAGAUUCAAGUAAGAGACUUGGAAGUCCAUUAUCGAAAAUUUAAAGCCUCAUCCUGGGUUGGGAUUUUCUGCAUAUGAGGUUGAAUUAAACUUUAAGGAUUGAUUUGGUAACUGUAGUAGGAUUGAAAUUUUUUAAAACCCAGUUGAAAAUUAGCAUUAAAUGUGAUUCAUCGGCUUCACCAUUGUUGAACUUUAAAAGUUCCAGAUUUGAAUAUUUCUUUUGAACUGGUAGCAGUUUGAAAAAUUUGUAUCAAUCUUGUGAGAAUCAUUUCUUGAAUUAAGGAAAGAAAGUAAAAUUAAAAAAGGAAUAAAAAAGAAAAAAUGGUUAGAAAAAUAAAUGAAAGAUUCUGGGGGAAUGAAGGGUGCUGGGGGUGAUGAGGACGACGCGUGUGGUGGUGUGGGGGAGGGGUCUAAGGCAGAUUAAAGUCCCUUCCUUUCCACUUGUUUGUUUCUACGUGCAGCUUUUUAUUUUUUUAAUAUGACAUAGCAGCUGACAUGGAAAAAAAUUGGAGGGGUCAGCUGCUACAGUGUAAGGCCGUUAGGGUUAGGGGCAAAUCUGAAAAGUUUGUUAACGGCAGGGGCGGAAAUGGACGAAAAGUAUAACGGGGACACAUGUAAACAAUAUACUAUAGUAGAGGGGUAAAUCCAGA